UUCAGCUUACACCUGAAAAAUGUCUGCUACUCCAGAUCGUCUUGAUGCCAAACUCUAGCCCAAUCGACAUGACCCAGAAUAACAAAGCUACUCCCCCACACCCAACUAAAGCAUUUACCAGUCCCAGUAUAGGCGAUAGAAAAGACACCAUUGGCGCGAUAGAGACCACGUACCGUAAGGGAAAGAUGAAAUAGUAAUGAAAACUAAGCUAUAAACAGCAAAGAUCAGCCCUUGUACCUUUUGCAUCAUGGUCUAGCAAGAAAAACCAAGCAAAAUGAAUUUAAGUUUGCCACCCCGAAACCCAAGCGAGCUACUCACGAGCAGCUAUCAUUGAGCGAACCCGUCUCUGUGGCAAAAGAGUGGGAUGACUUGUUAGUAGAGGUGAAAAGCCAAUCGAGCUGGGUGAUAGCUGGUUGCCUGUGAAACGAAUCUAAGUUCACUCUUAAUUCUUCUCCAAGGAAACACCACAAACCCUAAUGAAGCGAAUUAAGGGCUAUUUAAAGGAGGUACAGCUCCUUUAAAAAAGAAUACAAUCUCUACGAGCGGAUAAAUAUUAAACCCCUUCCAACUGAAUUGUGGGCCCUCAAGCAGCCAUCAACAAAGAGUGCGUUAAAGCUCUACACUACAAAAAUACAAGAACCUUAUGACUCCCUCCCCAUUAACAGGCCAACCUAUAUUUAGAUAGGAGAAUUAAUGCUAGAAUGAGUAACCAGGGUCCUCCCUCUGCGACGCAAGCUUACAUCCGCACAUUAUUAACAAACCACCAAUAUACGACAAAUCAAACAAGCACAGUAUUAAGUAACUUGUUAACCCGACAAAGGAGCGUCCACUAAGAAAGAUUAAA
rnacentral:rRNA from 1 species